CGAGACCAAUCAAUCAAAAUUCUCAUUUUCUCUCUCUUCCUUUCCCUUUUCAUUCUAAGGUUUCACGCAUGUAACUUCCGCCAUUGUUAUCCAUUCUGAGCUUCAACAUGGUAUCAGAUACAGGUUCUCAAAUCUACUAGCUGAGAGCAAUCUAGCAAUCUUACCCUCAUUAAGAGGUUCUGGGUAUUUUGCGAUUUUCCAUUUCAGUCAACACAAAGGUCAAAGGGAGUUUUCAUGAACAGUUUUCACUGGUCUCAAGUGAGAUGUAUUUGGUAUAGCUUUACCCUCCAGAUUGAGGGGGGUUGUGAAGAUUGAUACUACUGAUGACAUGAAGCCCACUUGAUACUUAGUUAUUGGGCCUCUUUACCUGGCCCAUAUUUUCAGUUCUAGUGAUUGAUAGCUGAAUGAGUUCAAUAGAAGAUAUUUUGUAGAGUCAGUUGAGUUGGAAGUUUCGAGACUAAUCAAUCAAAUUUCUUAGUUUCUCUUUCUUUCUUUCCCUUUUCAUUCUAAGGUUUCACCCAUGUAAAUUCCACCAUUAUUAUCCAUUCUGAGUUUCAACUUGAUCUGCCA